GUCAUAGAGAAGGGCAGCUUCCUAUGUAUAAAGGCCAAUUUUAAACUUAGCAGUGACUAAGACAUUUUUAAAGGGCAAGUCGGAGUGGAGGCAGAGAGGAUAAGCUGCCUCGGUCACAAAUACUACACCCAGAACUCCAGCACAGACUUGAACAUUCAGAGCAAACAGCAAGAGAUCAAGACACUAAGUGCUGUUUGCUGCAGUAAUAGGCAUUACUGGAACAUGAUGACUGCUAUGAAAGACAAUUAGACUAACUUGGAUUUAAUUCCCAAUAGACUCACAUUUGAGGUUAAAAUACAAAAAGAAACAGAGAAAAAUGGAAAUGCUUGCAUUUACUGAACAGAAGGAAUUCACCCAUUCAUUGCCAGUAAGUACCUGGCAGGUGGAAUAAUUCAGCAGCCACAACUGCCGAAUCGGGGAUUCUGUGCCCAAUGAACCUAUCAGAGACCACUGCGGGCAAGCAGUUACAAGGACAGAGGCCCCGAUGACGCUCUCCCAUGUCACCUGCUUAUGACGGACGUCAAACUUCAUGGACACUGAACCAGGCCCUGGAGACGAAAGAGUGAGAAGGCAGAAACGAUCCCGUCACUGGGAAGCUCACACUGCAGAGGAGGGACCCACCGUCAGGACCAGGCACCUUUCAGCCAGUAGACAUGGUCUAGUGGAGAAGGCCCGUGAUGAGGGGCCCAGCAUCCCAAGUUCCCUUUCUGCUCCGCUGGUCUCCAGCUGGCUCACUUUGACUUCGUUCCCAGUCCCUCUGUGCCACAACUGUCUCACCUACAAAAUGAAGGAGAUUGGUCCAGAUGUAACUACUACAGCUCUCCCAUGGAUGAAAUACUAGGUUACAAUGUCUACUGUUUUGCUGGGAAACAGCUCAUUUUCUCACAGAGAAAGGUGAGGGUAAAAUGAAAGGGUCAAGAGUCCACCUUGGAAAGUCUUCUGGACAAUAACCAAACAUAGUCCACAACAGACUUCUUUCAGAGUUGCCGUCACCUCCCCUUGACCCUCUCUGCAUUUCACAUACAGUCCCUCUACUCCAGGGAGCCGUGGAAUUGACGCAAAAUGGAGAAGGAGAAAGGAUCCAGGGGUACCGAGGAGCACGUGAGGGAAUCACUCACUGAAACGGAGGAACAGUUCAUCCCCGGAAAUAAGAUCCAGCGCUAUGGCGUUAAUUCAGUGUCUUUACUGUUGUGGUUAGUCAUGGAGAAAUUCGGGGCAUCAGAGCUGUUCCUUUAAAGACCGAGGCCACUGUGCUCAUGGACGAGCCAUCACCACACCAUUAUGACUAGUUUUCCUACCCACAUUUGGCCUGGUUUUCCUAUCGACUUCCCAAUCCCUGUGAACGUGUGCAGGUAUUUCCCCGACAAUCUCUACUACUCCCCACUCCACUUGGCCUGUUUGGGAACAGGACUGCUAUUCCAAAUGCAUUCUAUUUGGAAUGUGCAUUCGCCACCGACAACAGACAAAUAAGCCAGAAGCAAAACCACUUUUGACUCUGGGAUACUAACUGCAACAAAUUGCCUGGAAAUAACAAAAUGAGGCUGAAAAGACUAGGAUAAAUAUUCCCUGCAUUUUCUGCAAAAUACCAAUAUUAGCCACGGAAGACACAGGCCAUUUAGCUCCUUGAGCAUCAUUGUAUGAUCCAUAGUUUCCUCACAAGAAGCAAGUUCUGUUUGUGCCAACUGUGUAUGAUUCUGCUUCUAAAGCAUUACUCAAAUUCAACAUUCAGCUCUGCUCAGAGUAUGCAUAAUACACGAAUUAAUAACUAAUAUGAAAAGAAAAAAGGCUCUGCAUGAAAUAACCUUUUUCAGACUGAGCAAUAAUCCUCCACGUACAGUAACAAAAAUAGAUGUAACUUCCUUCUCCUCCUGAGAUGUCCAAUUCCACUCUCCGCGGGAGACUCAUCAAUGAACUUCGAUAAAACACCCAGGAUCAUAUACGCGUAGGUAAUUACAACUGUAUUAACCCCUGUCACUGGCUGUGAAGGGAUCAGCGUCAAUCUGGGCAGUUGCUAACAAUAGCGCUCUGAGGGCAAUACGCUCAGUGUUACUCAAGAUGAGUGUUGACUUGCAAGUGGCACCUGGAUGGAUUUGGGACAGAAUACUCAGAUCUUAGUUCUCCUGAGCUCAGCAUUAACAUAAUCCCAUUCUAUUACAAAUUCUCCACCUAAAGGUCCCCUACAGCCACCCACCUGCAGUCAGUCCCCACACCUCCUCAGGGCGGCAGGCUCCAUCAGAUGCCCAGGUGUCCUGAUGUAGGAACUCAGACCUCAUGCAAGGUCUAAGUGACCACUGCCCUCAUUGGGAAGUCACUCAAGUGCUUAACUCACAAACUUUCCAAAAUUUACAUUUUAAUGUCAGGUCCUCAGAGCCUGGGUCUGGAAAUCAACCGGGUCCUUUGUUAUCUGUAACAGAGGCUAUAAAGAAAGAUAACUUAUUGAAAAAGUUGGACUUCUAGGACACAGCAUACUGAAAAAGCUUGGACUUUAGAGCCUGACAGAGCUGGGUUUAAGCUUUAACUCAUUGUCGACUGGUGGCAUGAACGACUUUGCAGAGUUUCCGCCUCUCUCAGAGCCGUGACACAGAUUAACUGUGAAUCUCAGCCGACCAAACACACCUGCACCUAGGAGCGACCUCUCUCGGCACCGACAGUGCCGGCACUGGCUUUGUUUCGUUAACACACUGCCCAGCCCUUGCCUAUAGCUCCCGGACGGCUAGUAACCUACUCUGGCCAUCUCCACGACCCAAGCCCAGGACGCGCUGCGUGACUCACAGUAGGCUCUCAACGUCCACGUCACACUGAAGGAAGAGGAGGCACUUAAUUCAGUGCUUCUCAAACUUUAAUGUGCAUACAAUUCACCUGGGAAUCGUGUUAAAGAGCAUAUUCUGAUUCAUUACGUCUAGCGUGGACCCCAAGACACUGCAUCUCAGACAAGCACCAAAUAGACCCAUGCUUCGAGGACCCCACUCUGAGCAACUCAGUGCUAGUUUCCUUUCUUUUCCUUCCUUUUUGGCCCCGACAAUAGUCUAUGAAGUGGCAACAGCCACGAGCCGUUUGUGAGCAGCUCUGAGGGCUGUUUCCCCGCAGUCCAACCAUGACCUUCCCUUGACACCAACAGAGGCCGGGGCACCCAGGACAAUAUGAGUGUGGGGACUGUUAGUGUGAAGAUACAACUCUUCCCCAUUAGAACAAGCUAUCGAGUGAACAAUGCUCUUCGUCAGAAAAAUAGAAAGCUCCUUAAGGAACAAGAAACAGUUUCGUUAUACUUCUAGAGGACAACACACUAAAUAGCAAUGUGCCGGUAGAAGACACAAAUUUCUAAAUCACUGACAUUUAAUACCUUGUAUUUCCAAAAAGUGUCAUGCUCUCCACUGUCAUGUUAACAGAAUGAGUAUUUAUAAAUAUGCAUGCCAGAAACGCAAAGCCAUAUUUGCAAAGGGAAGCUGUCAUCUGGUGCCACACAGCGCCAUCUGCCGGGCAGCUGCUGAGGAGCAGCAGAAAAAAGGAAGGAUCCUGGUCAGGAAUAAUAACGCGAAAUUUCCUGCAGCUUUUGAAACAGCUUUAUGCAAACUAAGGCAGCUUCCUGGGGUUCUGCACUGGCUCAUUUGGAGAGAACACCAUACAGCAAAAAUGCUCUUUUUGCCUAAAAAGGUAGAACCAUUUUAUAGAGAUACGUAUACUGAUGCGGGACUACAGGCUGAACAGAGAAAUCCUUAUGGCCAUUGAGAAGAAAAAACUGUUUCUUCCUCCCAAAGAAAAAUCUGGUUUUCUGGGCACCACUGGAAUUUACCUGACUCUUAAUCAACACAAUGUUAGUGCACAGUAUUUUCAGCACCCGUCACAAACAAGAAAUAGACAUGAGAAAGUAGCAAAGACAAAUCUGUAAUCUAGUCACUACUGAAUGUAGGUUCCUCUUAAAUCCUAAAACUGGUCGAAUACUUUAGCACAAAUGUCAAGAAAGGAAUGAGUGGGAAGAUGUGAGGCCUGAUAAGUCCUUCCUACUGACAUCUUUCAAGGAAAAGGCAACUUGCUCUAUCAUCAUAGUGGCAUAAUUUUGAAAUGAUUUUAAUUUUCCUAUUGAAUAGUCUAGUUGCCAGAGCUGAUCACCCAGUUCUUAGGCAGUCUUCGAUUUUAAAGAAUUAAGCAGAAAUUUGGGUUUAACUGAACACAUUAAAGAAUAAUAAUGCUAUGAAAUAUCUACUUUGGGACGUCAGAAAAAAUAUAGGUAACAAGCCCUUUCAAGCAAUUUUCUACAGAGGAUCUCAAAGGGCAAUCCUGGCUG
ensembl:lncRNA